GCCACUUGGUGGCCUGGUGAAAGCUGGGCUCAACACCCUGGUGCAGGAGGCCUGGAGGGCUGAGGGUGCUGGAGACAAAGUUUGUGAUAGGAAGGCCUUCAGGGAGUUCCUUGUGGAUGUUCUGAUAGCCCUUACUCGUCCUCUGUGCAAUCGGGCUUUUGUAUAAAAUAUCCUCCUAAAAACACGUUUGAUCGCCUUGUGGGAAUGGAUCCGACUGCGGCUUAACACCCGCCUCCUCUACAAAACAGGGACCCAAUCAAGCCAUCUCAUGGAGUUGUGGGUAGUCUAUAAGAGGACUCUGGAAGGAGAAGCAGUGAGGAGCAGAAGCCAGAUCACACAGGCACCUCCUGCAAAGUGAGAAGUGACUGCCCUCAGCCAGCUGCUGACUUUAGCUGCAAGGUUGACCAUGAGGAGCCAGGCAGCAUGGGCGGCUGGCACAGAGCUAGACGGUGGCGGUUUUCUGGGCUCCUGUGGGACAAGGUGACUGAAACUUCGCUCAGAUCCCAGGUUUGCACUUCCUCUGUGACCUUGGGCAAGUUAUUUAACCUCUCUGGGCCUCCUUUCCUUGACUGUAAAACGCAGAAAAUGGAUCUAAUACAGUUGCUGAGAAGGUUAAAUGAAUUAUGUACCAAGAGCUUGGAACAGUGCCCAGCACAUAGUAAAUCCUAUGGGUUUUCUAUUACUGUUAUUAAAACAACCUUGUGUAACUUUUUAGCAUGA